rnacentral:rRNA from 1 species
GACGAACGCUGGCGGCGUGCUUAACACAUGCAAGUCGAGCGGUAAGGCCCUUUCGGGGGUACGACGAGCGGCGAACGGGUGAGUAACACGUGGGUGACCUGCCCUCAGCUCUGGGAUAAGCCUGGGAAACUGGGUCUAAUACUGGAUAUGACUCCACGGUGCAUGUCGUGGGGUGGAAAGCCUUGUGCGGCUGAGGAUGGGCCCGCGGCCUAUCAGCUUGUUGGUGGGGUGAUGGCCUACCAAGGCGACGACGGGUAGCCGGCCUGAGAGGGCGACCGGCCACACUGGGACUGAGACACGGCCCAGACUCCUACGGGAGGCAGCAGUGGGGAAUCUUGCGCAAUGGGCGAAAGCCUGACGCAGCGACGCCGCGUGAGGGAUGACGGCCUCGGUGU